AAGACGACACUUUUUUAUUUUUUAUGUCCAACUUUUGAUCGUCCGUCUUAUUUAAAAAAAAUAUGAUUAUUAUUUUUAUUGUUAUUAGAUGAUAAAAUAUGAAUAAUAAUUUAUGUGUACUAAUUUUUUUACUAAUCUAUUUUAAAUAAGAUGGAUGGUCAAACGUUGGAUAAAGAGGUACCAGUACGUAAC
rnacentral:pre_miRNA from 1 species